rnacentral:rRNA from 1 species
UACGGAGGGUGCAAGCGUUCAUCGGCAUUACUGGGCGUAAAGCGUGCGCAGGCGGUUUGUUCAGUCUGCUGUGAAAUCCCCGAGCUCAACUUGGGAAUUGCAAUGGAUACUGGCAGGCUGGAGUAUGGUAGAGGAAGGUGGAAUUCCCGGUGUAGCAGUGAAAUGCGUAGAGAUCGGGAGGAACAUCAGUGGCGAAGGCGGCUCACUGGCUCGUUUCUGACACUCAGGCACGACAGCGUGGGGAUCAAACAGG